GGAGGGCGCGCUGUAGCGCCCAGCGCGCAUGCGCCCACGCCGCCGGGCCCGGGAACUCUGUCUCACUCGCUCCUGGGCGCGCUCCCGCCAUCUUGUACCAGUCCUGCCGCGCCGCCCAGUCAGCUUUCCCUUUCUCCGACUCUGCCCCGCCCGCCCCUUCCAAUCGUGUCCCGGGCCGCAGCAGCGGAAGUCGCGCCUUCUCCGCCCCUUCCUCGUCCACGCGGGACGCGCACCGUGCCUACAGGGUCCUUAGGCAGAGAAGAAAGGAAAUAAAGCAUCGGAAUGAUAGGACUUUGAUGUGUAAAGAAGUUAAUGUCUAAAGAAGUUAAUUAUCUAAAUCUUCAAACAACGUGGAUGAAUAAUACUGCAGCUAGCCCAAUGUCUACUGCCACUUCAAGUAGUGGAAGAAGUACGGGAAAGGCUAUCAGCUUUGUGGCCGAGUUGCAAAGUAUGAUGUAUUCUUUAGGUGAUGCUAGGAGACCUCUUCAUGAAACAGUGGUUUUGGUAGAAGAUGUGGUACACACUCAAUUGAUUAAUCUGUUACAGCAUGCUGCUGAAGUUUCUCAGCUGCGGGGAGCAAGGGUAAUCUCUGCUGAAGAUCUUCUAUUUUUGAUGCGUAAAGAUAAGAAAAAACUAAGAAGACUGCUGAAAUACAUGUUCAUGCGAGAUUAUAAAUCAAAGAUUAUCAAAGGAAUAGAUGAGGAUGAGCUUUUGGAAGACAAGUUGAGUGGCAGCAAUGCAAACAAAAGACAAAAAAUUGAUCAGGACUUUCUCAGCUCUAUUGACCAGACAGGAGAACUUUUGGCAGUGUUUGAAGAUGAUGAGAUUGAUGAAGUUAAACAAGAAAGAAUGGAGAGAGCAGAAAGGCAGACUCGAAUUAUGGAUUCAGCUCAAUAUGCAGAAUUCUGUGAAAGUCGACAAUUAAGUUUCUCCAAAAAAGCUUCCAAAUUUCGAGACUGGUUGGACUGCAGCAGCAUGGAGAUAAAACCCAGUGUUGCAGCUAUGGAAAUCUUAGCAUAUUUAGCAUAUGAAACAGUGGCACAGUUAGUGGAUCUGGCUCUUCUUGUGAGGCAGGACAUGGUAACCAAGGCAGGAGACCCUUUCAGUCAUGCCAUUUCUGCAACCUUCAUUCAAUAUCACAGCUCUCCUGAGCAGGGGUCUUGUAUGAAGUCCUGCCCAGACUCCCCUGAGAACACUCCACCCCCAACGCCAACAGCUCCACCAUCCGGAUCACAGCACCCAGGGAAGACCACACCAGGGGCCCUUGGGAAUGGGAGUGCUGGGCCGGACAGUGCCAAAACCAAGCAAAGGAAAAGAAAAAAGAGCACCGCGGCCUGUGGUGUGGAGGCUCACAGCGAUGCCAUCCAGCCCUGCCACAUCAGAGAGGCUAUCCGACGCCACAGCCACAAGAUUGGCCCCCUUUCCCCAUUCACGGCCUCACUCAGAGGAAGGACUCACUCUCCUUGACAGCUUCUCUGCCUCAUCUCCCACCACCUCCCCAUCUUGCUCCUCUUCUGCAGCCAUGUGGGCUCCCCACUUCUCCAGUACUGCCCUUUGGCCUGGCCUCCAGGGUGCUUUCUCUUGGACCAUCCUUUCCUCAGAGUGCCUACCGCAGAAACGGGAUCGCUUUUCUAGCCUGCUAAUGUAACUGUGUCUGCAACAACAGGAAAGGCAAUGUUACACUGAGGCGAUUUCUUUUCCCCAUCCUGUACAAGAUAAAAGUUCACCUUCUUCAGAUCCUAAGGAGUGGACUGACUGGUUUGUGACUCUUGCUCUUUUCCAGCCCCCUCAGCAUUUAGCAAUUGUUUACGAGAUGGGCCAUUUAGCUAAUUAAUGGCAGGAUGUUUGAGACAGUGUGUAGGUGGACAAGAAUGCAGAUCACACUAUUUUGAAGUCUUAACUUGGCAUGGAUUUGCUUCCCUCAGCUCACGUAUCUUAAAAGUAGCCCCCCCUUCAGUGUUUAGUCAGGCGUUUUAUUUGAUACAUUUUAUAAUCCAGGUUCAGAAAAAAGGAGACAAAGAGGAUAGUCUUCUCCCACUGUACUAUCCCACCAAUUUUACUUCCUAACACUUGCUGACUAGUUGUUCCUAAAAUAAAUGCAGACAUAUUUAUUUUAUAAACUUCUACUAAUUAAAGAUCUAACUAACCUCAUGAACCGCCAGUCCUCACUCUUCUUCCCAUCACCCCACUUAAAUGUACAGUGUCACUCACAAGCCUUUUCCCCAACUUCCUGCCAAUCAUGUGUUUCUCCUCACAUACGACUCCUUCCUCCAUCUCCACUCCCUGCUUUGCCCAGACCCACCUUCCGACUCACUCCACGCCCUUCAGCAGCAGUCAUAAGUCAGAGAGGCGGAAGAGGGACUUGCCCUCCCCUCUCCCUUCAGCAGCCAGCCCCCCACUUCUGGAAGCACUUGAUGGGAGCAACCGUACUCCCUCUGGCAUCUACCCUCUCCCUAGCAAAUGAGGAAUUGUAACUCCUGGGAAUAAACUAAAAUACACCA